rnacentral:rRNA from 1 species
AACGAACGCUGGCGGCAUGCCUAACACAUGCAAGUCGAACGAGACCUUCGGGUCUAGUGGCGCACGGGUGCGUAACGCGUGGGAACCUGCCCUUAGGUUCGGAAUAACUCCCCGAAAGGGGUGCUAAUACCGGAUAAUGUCUUCGGACCAAAGAUUUAUCGCCUUUGGAUGGGCCCGCGUUGGAUUAGCUAGUUGGUAGGGUAAAAGCUUACCAAGGCGACGAUCCAUAGCUGGUCUGAGAGGAUGAGCAGCCACACUGGGACUGAGACACGGCCCAGACUCCUACGGGAGGAAGCAGUGGGGAAUAUUGGACAAUGGGCGAAAGCCUGAUCCAGCAAUGCCGCGUGAGUGAUGAAGGCCUUAGGGUUGUAAAGCUCUUUUACCCGGGAUGAUAAUGACAGUACCGGGAGAAUAAGCUCCGGCUAACUCCGUG